CCACCAUUACCCUGCCCAACUACAUAAACAUUAAAAUCCAAUCUAGCCCUCAUUGUGAGACUUAGGAAGGCAUGUUUCUAUUGGCAACCAAGUUCCUUAACAUCACUGCACACUGACUAGAAAGGAAUCAGGAUUGACGAAAACACAAAGGAAAUUUGGACACAGACUGACAGGCACAUGGGAGAAUGCCAUAUGAAGAUGAAGACAGUGAUCAGGGUGAUGAAUCUACAAGCCAAGGAAUGCCAAAGAUUGCCAGCGAACCACAAGAAGCGAGGCAAGAGGCAUGGAACAGACUCUUUCUCACAGCCCUCAGAAAGAACCAACCCUGCCAACACUUUGAUCUCAUACUUCUAUCCUCCAGAACUGUGAGACAAUAAAUUUCUGGUGUUUAAGCCACUCAGUUUGUGUUACUUUGUUAUGGCAGCCCUAGGAAGCUAAUACAG
rnacentral:lncRNA from 10 species